rnacentral:lncRNA from 1 species
CUUUCUCGCGUCCGCAGUGUCCCUGAGGGUCCGCGUCUACACGCGGCUGUGAGGAAGGAAGGCGCGUGCCGCGUGGGACGGGCUCCACCUGCCUGCGGACAGAUGGAGGGUCACUUUGUUCCGAGAAGACCCAGACACCCGAGGGAGGAUGUGAAACGGAACGACCCGUUUCGGUGCGGUUGGCUUUGUUUAUUUGCCUACUCCCCAGACGCCUCCAGCCUCUGAUUCCGGCACACCCUGUGAGGAAGCAAACGGCUGCCUCCCCCACUGCCACCAGACGAGGUCGCCUGCCCCGAGCCGGACAGGCUGGACAGGCUGCGCACCUGCGGCGGCCGACUAUUUCGUGGGCCUUGUACGCCACCUUGCAGAAGGGAAGCUGUGAGGUUUUGGCGAUAGAAGCGCAUUUACUUGUGUUUUAAAGCCCACAAACGCCGUAGUGACUAACUUAUUCAUUCAGCAAAUGUCUGUCAGAGCGUCUAUUACGUACCAGGCAUGUAGCCUGAACUUCACGCCUGUCCUCAUGGAGCUUGCAGAGCACCUCUGAAAUACACACCACAUACGGAAUGGCCAUAUUUUCUGGGUUGUAAAAUACUUUGAAUUGUAACUCCAUAUAUUGAAUAGAUUUUCAGUAGUGAGGGAAGAAACAAUACAUUUAGUUCAUAUAAUCCAUAUGUACGAAAAAGAAGUGCUGGUAAUUCCAGACAUGGAAGUCAGUAAAACUAGGAGCUAAGAGGUAAUAAUCAUAGACAUUAUGAUUCUAAGCCUUUGUUAAACGGUUCUAAACCAGACUGGGUAAGCGCACCAGCAAUGAAUAGAUUAAGGGUGUUAUCUCCUUAGCAGCUUAUUUCAAAUUGCAUCAAGGCAGGGCCAUUAAACUAAGGUGAGAAUGAUAUGGGCGGAAUUCAGAGGACAAUAGGUAAAAGAUGAAAAUCUUUACAUUUAAAAUCUUAUUGAGACAAGAUCUUGGUCAGUGUCUACUCAUACAUAGAAUUGCCUAGAAGCUAAUAUUUGAGUUUACCAUAUUACUGUUGGCUUUCUAUUUUUCUCAUUUGUUCUGUUUCUUUUCUGUCCUUUUGUGCCUUCUUGUAGAUUAUUAAUUCCACUCCCUUGUAACAAUUAGGUUGUUAUACAUUCUUUAUGCUUUUAGUAGUAUUUCAGUUAUUUAUUGCUGUGUUCAAACCACCCCCAAAAUAUAAUGACUUAAAACAAUGGCUCUUUUAUUUACUCAUGAUUCUGAAUUCUCUGGCACAGGAAUUCAGUCAGGGCAUAGUACAGGUGGCUCAUUUCUGCUCCAUGAUGUCUGGGGCUUCAAUUAGCGUGGGCAUACUGGGGCCUGGCUGGAAUGGCUUAACUAGGGUCAUAAGUCUUGGGACUUAAGGAUGGAGAUGGAGUUUCAUGACAAAAAUGAAGUGAACAUGAUGUGGAAAAUAUGGACAUGGAAGCCACGAGCUAAGGAUGCUGGAACAGAAAGAAGGCUGUUAGCUACAUACCUUGGUUUUUCUCUACAUGGCUUCUCCAUAUGGCUAAUUUAGGCUUCCUCACAGCAUCAUAAUCUUAGGAUUGCAAGAGGGGACAUUCCAAAAAGACAAGCCUCAAUGUGCAAGCCUUUACUUUUAUCAUGCUUACUAAUGUGUCACUGGCCAAAGCAAGUCUCAUGGCCAAGCUCAGCGUCAGUGUGGGGAGGAACUACACAAGAUUGUGAAUAUUGGGAGGUGUGACAUAUUGGUAGUCAUUUAGACUAGGGACAGACCACCUUAAUCCAAUCAAGAGAAUAAUUAAAAGUUACUUCCAGGGUAUAGCCCAGUUCCAACUUAAAAUCUUUCCUCCUUAGGUCCUGAACUCAAUAUUUUUACCCACCCAAUCCCACACCCACUCCCCUUGAGGCAGUUGAAAACUCUGGCUAGUUUCUCAGCCUCUCUCCAUUACUGCUUUCUGAAUGUUAAUUGCCUCGAAGGGAAAAGUGGCACCAAAUUCUGGACUCAAAAUCUUGGAUUUAGGCCCCUCAGACUGUUGAAGUUCUACUGCUCCAGAAAAGAGUAAUAACAGGAUGGAGAUGGAGUUUCAUGACAAAAAUGAAGGUGAAUAUGAUGUGGAAAAUACAAAGAUGGAAGCAACAAGCUAAGGAUGCUGGGGCAGAAAGAUGGAACCUGGGUUACUCAUGACAUCUUGAAACUGCUGCAGCCAUCCUAGACUGGCUGCCUCUAGACUUAAUAUGUUUAGAAAGUAAAUCCCAAUUUUAUUA